GAUGAACGCUAGCGGGAGGCUUAACACAUGCAAGUCGAGGGGUAACAUGAGGUAGCAAUACUUUGAUGACGACCGGCGCACGGGUGAGUAACGCGUAUGUAACCUACCUUGUACAGGAGGAUAGCCCGGAGAAAUUCGAAUUAAUACCCCAUAAUGAUAUCUGAAGGCAUCUUUAGAUAUUUAAAGUUUCGACGGUACGAGAUGGGCAUGCGUGACAUUAGCUAGUUGGUAAGGUAACGGCUUACCAAGGCUGCGAUGUCUAGGGGUCCUGAGAGGGUGAUCCCCCACACUGGUACUGAGACACGGACCAGACUCCUACGGGAGGCAGCAGUGAGGAAUAUUGGUCAAUGGGCGUAAGCCUGAACCAGCCAUCCCGCGUGAAGGAAGAAGGCGCUAUGCGUCGUAAACUUCUUUUCCGGAGGAAUAAAAUUUCGUACGUGUACGGGACUGAAGGUACUCCGGGAAUAAGCAUCGGCUAACUCCGUGCCAGCCGCCGCGGUAAGAC
rnacentral:rRNA from 1 species